rnacentral:rRNA from 1 species
AUACGGAGGGUGCAAGCGUUAUCCGGAAUCAUUGGGUUUAAAGGGUCCGUAGGCGGAUAAUUAAGUCAGGGGUGAAAUCCCACAGCUCAACUGUGGCACUGCCUUUGAUACUGGUUAUCUUGAGUUAUAGGGAAGUAGAUAGAAUAUGUAGUGUAGCGGUGAAAUGCAUAGAUAUUACAUAGAAUACCGAUUGCGAAGGCAGUCUACUAUCUGUAUACUGACGCUAAGGGACGAAAGCGUGGGGAGCGAACAGGAUUAGAAACCCUAGUAGUCC